UACGUAGGUGGCAAGCGUUGUCCGGAAUUAUUGGGCGUAAAGCGCGCGCAGGUGGUUUCUUAAGUCUGAUGUGAAAGCCCACGGCUCAACCGUGGAGGGUCAUUGGAAACUGGGGAACUUGAGUGCAGGAGAGAAGAGUGGAAUUCCACGUGUAGCGGUGAAAUGCGUAGAGAUGUGGAGGAACACCAGUGGCGAAGGCGACUCUUUGGCCUGUAACUGACACUGGAGGCGCGAAAGCGUGGGGAGCAA
rnacentral:rRNA from 1 species